rnacentral:lncRNA from 1 species
AGGGGCGCGGCCACGUGACGUCACAGCCCGAGGCCCCCGCCUCCCGACGCACGGGACGUGAUCUCCCCGGCCCGGCGCGGGCGUUGCCUGGGGGCCUCGCAGGGGGAGAUCCAGCCCAGGCUGGUUCCGCUGACUCUGCCUGUAGGCCGGUGGCGUCUUCUGGGCCUGGAUGGUCUAAUAUGGAGUUUAUAAGCUGAAGUGGCUUUGAAAAGGGCAAGCAGAGAAUUGUAUUAUUAUUAGCCUCCUAGCUUAAAGAUUGCAUGGAACUUAAACUGGCUGAACCAAAAGAACAAAAAGACAUUUCAGGUUUUCACUCAAUUUGGCCAACUCCCCAGCCCACAAGUAAUAGGGAACUGAAGGAUGCACUGAUGAAAAAGACAGGAUGAAAAUUAACAUCGUUGUGCACCACCUGUCCAGCUGCGAUUGUUCAGACCUGAGCCAGCAGGUUUUAGGAAGGGCCGAGGGGAACGAGAAGGAGACUCGGGCGUGAUCGCGCCGCACCGCGCCGCGGGGCCUCUCUGGACUGCCUUUGUCCUGGCCAAGAUGGAUCCCACUGUCCUGGCCAAGAUGGAUCCCACUGUGUCAGCUCAGAAUUGGCCCUUCCUCCACCUUACCUGAAGGCCUCUGGGAGGCACCUAGUUGUCCACACAUCAGACUGAUAAAUGUGUCAGUAUCUGCUAGAUGCCAGCUUGGUUCCCGGUCACAGAUGACGUAUUUGCAUUUUAAUGGCUUCUCGUGUGGACCCUAAACAUUGCAAAGGCCUGGGGCGUAUAAGACUGGGAAUUCAAAUAUGUGGCAGAUAUUCAUGGGACAGAGUAGAGUGUUGCAUAGCCGCUUUUUUUUUUUUUUUUUUUUUUUUUUUUGAGACGGAGUCUCGCUUCUCCCAGGCUGGGGUGCAAUGGCGUGAUCUUGGCUCACUGCAACCUCCGUUUCCCGGGUUCAGGCAAUUCUCCUGCCUCAGCCUCCCCAGUAGCUGGGAUUUGUACAGGCAUGUGACACCAAGCCCGGGUAAUUUUUGUAUUUUUAGUACAGAGGGCGUUUCACCCUGUUGGCCAGGCUAGUCUCGAACUCCUGGCCUCGAGUGAUCCGCCCGCCUCAGCCUCCCAAAGUGCUGGGAUUACAACGUGAGCCACCACGCCCGGCUGCAUAGCCGCUUUUAAGAGAUCUCAAAUGAUAACACUGUAGGGCAUGUUUACUUCAUCUUUUCUUUGCAUGAGUGUAUUAAUUCUUCAAAUAGCGAAA